rnacentral:rRNA from 1 species
AGAGUUUGAUCCUGGCUCAGAAUCAACGCUGGCGGCGCGCUUAACACAUGCAAGUCGCACGAGAAAGGGAGCAAUCCUGAGUAUAGUGGCGCACGGGUGAGUAACACGUGGAUGAUCUACCUCCUUGUGGGGAAUAACCCUGGGAAACCGGGGCUAAUACCGCAUACGUUCGAGAGAAGAAAGCCGAAAGGCGCAGGGAGAGGAGUCCGCGGUCGAUUAGCUAGUUGGCAGGGUAAUGGCCUACCAAGGCGACGAUCGAUAGCCGGCCUGAGAGGGCACACGGCCACACUGGCACUGAAACACGGGCCAAACUCCUACGGGAGGCAGCAGUGGGGAAUCUUGCACAAUGGGGGAAACCCUGAUGCAGCGACGCCGCGUGAACGAUGAAGCCCUUCGGGGUGUAAAGUUCUUUCGACGGGGACGAUAAUGACGGUACCCGGAGAAGAAGCUGCGGCUAACUACGUGCCAGCAGCCGCGGUAAUACGUAGGCAGCAAGCGUUGUUCGGAAUUACUGGGCGUAAAGAGUGCGUAGGCGGUUAACUAAGUUUGGUGUGAAAUCUCCCGGCUUAACUGGGAGGGUGCGCCGAAAACUGGCUAGCUAGAGUGUGGGAGANGAUAGUGGAAUUCCUGGUGUAGCGGUGAAAUGCGUANAUAUCAGGAGGACCACCUGCGGUGUAGACNGCUAUCUGGACCAUGACNGGACGCUGAGGCACGAAAGC